AGAGUUUGAUCAUGGCUCAGAUUGAACGCUGGCGGCAUGCCUUACACAUGCAAGUCGAACGGCAGCGCGGGGCAACCUGGCGGCGAGUGGCGAACGGGUGAGUAAUAUAUCGGAACGUACCCUGGAGUGGGGGAUAACGUAGCGAAAGUUACGCUAAUACCGCAUACGAUCUAAGGAUGAAAGCAGGGGACCGCAAGGCCUUGUGCUCCUGGAGCGGCCGAUAUCUGAUUAGCUAGUUGGUGGGGUAAAGGCCUACCAAGGCAUCGAUCAGUAGCUGGUCUGAGAGGACGACCAGCCACACUGGAACUGAGACACGGUCCAGACUCCUACGGGAGGCAGCAGUGGGGAAUUUUGGACAAUGGGCGCAAGCCUGAUCCAGCAAUGCCGCGUGAGUGAAGAAGGCCUUCGGGUUGUAAAGCUCUUUUGUCAGGGAAGAAACGGUGUGGGCUAAUAUCCCGCACUAAUGACGGUACCUGAAGAAUAAGCACCGGCUAACUACGUGCCAGCAGCCGCGGUAAUACGUAGGGUGCAAGCGUUAAUCGGAAUUACUGGGCGUAAAGCGUGCGCAGGCGGUUUUGUAAGUUUGUCGUGAAAGCCCCGGGCUCAACCUGGGAAUUGCGAUGAAGACUGCAAGGCUUGAAUCUGGCAGAGGGGGGUAGAAUUCCACGUAGCAGUGAAAUGCGUAGAGAUGUGGAGGAACACCGAUGGCGAAGGCAGCCCCCUGGGUCAAGAUUGACGCUCAUGCACGAAAGCGUGGGGAGCAAACAGGAUUAGAUACCCUAGUAGUCC
rnacentral:rRNA from 1 species